CAGGAUGGUCUCAAACUCCUGACCUCAAGUAAUCUGCCCGUUGGCCUCUCAAAGUGCUGGGAUUACAGGCAUGAGCCACCACACCCCACCCACAAAGGUACCACUUUUCUAAAACCAGUUUUGUUAAAGAUAGGUGUACAUGAAGUGACCUUACCCUGGACUGAGUGAGUGGUGCUAGAAAAGGUACCAGCUGGGGAAGGAUCUGAAGGAUUAUAUAUUUCAACCACCUUGUUUUUAGAUGAGGAAACCAAGGCCCAGAAUGACCACCUUCACAGCAAGCUGAGACUAGCACCUAGGUUUCCCAACUAGGAAGGGAUGAAAGCACUGGGCAAAGCAUGCCUGUCCAGUACUAACCACUGGUCAAAGUGACUUCAAGGCUUCAGGUUUGGGGGCUCAGAAGAAUGGAAACUGAAAUGGGGCAGUGAGUGAGAGAAGGAGUUUUGAUAUGAAGGAGACCAUGCAUUUGUUUGGUUGUGAAUGUUGUCAGCCUUGAGAAACAUCCGAGCAGGUUUCCGGUUUCACCUGUGGACAGUUUAAGACAUAGGCCUGGAGCUGAGUGUCAGGCAGGACCAGGGAUAAAAACCUGGGAGAAAAUUUCAU